rnacentral:rRNA from 1 species
AUGGAGAGUUUGAUCCUGGCUCAGGAUGAACGCUGGCGGCGUGCCUAACACAUGCAAGUCGAACGGGAAUCUUCGGAUUCUAGUGGCGGACGGGUGAGUAACGCGUAAGAAUCUAACUUCAGGACGGGGACAACAGUUGGAAACGACUGCUAAUACCCGAUGUGCCGCAAGGUGAAACCUAAUUGGCCUGAAGAAGAGCUUGCGUCUGAUUAGCUAGUUGGUGGGGUAAGAGCCUACCAAGGCGACGAUCAGUAGCUGGUCUGAGAGGAUGAGCAGCCACACUGGGACUGAGACACGGCCCAGACUCCUACGGGAGGCAGCAGUGGGGAAUUUUCCGCAAUGGGCGAAAGCCUGACGGAGCAACGCCGCGUGAGGGAGGAAGGUCUUUGGAUUGUAAACCUCUUUUCUCAAGGAAGAAGUUCUGACGGUACUUGAGGAAUCAGCCUCGGCUAACUCCGUGCCAGCAGCCGCGGUAAUACGGGGGAGGCAAGCGUUAUCCGGAAUUAUUGGGCGUAAAGCGUCCGCAGGUGGUCAGCCAAGUCUGCCGUCAAAUCAGGUUGCUUAACGACCUAAAGGCGGUGGAAACUGGCAGACUAGAGAGCAGUAGGGGUAG